rnacentral:rRNA from 1 species
UGAGGAAUAUUGGGCAAUGGGCGAAAGCCUGACCCAGCCACGCCGCGUGUGUGAUGAAGGCCUUCGGGUCGUAAAGCACUGUGGGGAGGGACGAACAUGCGCAUGAGGAAAUGCUUGCGCACUGACGGUACCUCCUUAGCAAGCACCGGCUAACUCUGUGCCAGCAGCCGCGGUAAUACAGAGGGUGCGAACGUUGCUCGGAUUUACUGGGCGUAAAGCGCGUGUAGGCGGACUCGCAAGUCGGUUGUGAAAUCGCUGGGCUCAACCUAGGAACUGCAUCCGAAACUGCUUGUCUCGAGUAAUGGAGAGGGUGGCGGAAUUCCCGGUUUAGAGGUGAAAUUCGUAGAUAUCGGGAGGAACAUCAGUGGCGAAAGCGGCUCUCUGGUCCGGAUCUGACGCUGAGGCGCGAAAGCGUGGGGAGCAAACAGGAUUAGAUACCCGUGUAGUCC